GAUGACCGCUGGCGGCGUGCCUAAUACAUGCAAGUCGAGCGAACGGACGAGAAGCUUGCUUCUCUGAUGUUAGCGGCGGACGGGUGAGUAACACGUGGAUAACCUACCUAUAAGACUGGGAUAACUUCGGGAAACCGGAGCUAAUACCGGAUAAUAUUUUGAACCGCAUGGUUCAAAAGUGAAAGACGGUCUUGCUGUCACUUAUAGAUGGAUCCGCGCUGCAUUAGCUAGUUGGUAAGGUAACGGCUUACCAAGGCAACGAUGCAUAGCCGACCUGAGAGGGUGAUCGGCCACACUGGAACUGAGACACGGUCCAGACUCCUACGGGAGGCAGCAGUAGGGAAUCUUCCGCAAUGGGCGAAAGCCUGACGGAGCAACGCCGCGUGAGUGAUGAAGGUCUUCGGAUCGUAAAACUCUGUUAUUAGGGAAGAACAUAUGUGUAAGUAACUGUGCACAUCUUGACGGUACCUAAUCAGAAGGCCACGGCUAACUACGUG
rnacentral:rRNA from 1 species